CCUACGGGAGGCAGCAGUGGGGAAUAUUGGACAAUGGGCGAAAGCCUGAUCCAGCCAUGCCGCGUGUGUGAAGAAGGCCUUCGGGUUGUAAAGCACUUUCAGUGGGGAAGAAAGCCUUGGGGCUAAUACCCUCGAGGAAGGACAUCACCCACAGAAGAAGCACCGGCUAACUCCGUGCCAGCAGCCGCGGUAAUACGGAGGGUGCGAGCGUUAAUCGGAAUUACUGGGCGUAAAGCGCGCGUAGGCGGUCUGAUAAGCCGGUUGUGAAAGCCCCGGGCUCAACCUGGGAACGGCAUCCGGAACUGUCAGGCUAGAGUGCAGGAGAGGAAGGUAGAAUUCCCGGUGUAGCGGUGAAAUGCGUAGAGAUCGGGAGGAAUACCAGUGGCGAAGGCGGCCUUCUGGACUGACACUGACGCUGAGGUGCGAAAGCGUGGGUAGCAAACAGGAUUAGACACCCCAGUAGUC
rnacentral:rRNA from 1 species